rnacentral:rRNA from 1 species
GAUGAACGCUGGCGGCGUGCCUAAUACAUGCAAGUCGAGCGAACAGACGAGGAGCUUGCUCCUCUGACGUUAGCGGCGGACGGGUGAGUAACACGUGGAUAACCUACCUAUAAGACUGGGAUAACUUCGGGAAACCGGAGCUAAUACCGGAUAACAUGUUGAACCGCAUGGUUCAACAGUGAAAGACGGUCUUGCUGUCACUUAUAGAUGGAUCCGCGCCGCAUUAGCUAGUUGGUAAGGUAACGGCUUACCAAGGCAACGAUGCGUAGCCGACCUGAGAGGGUGAUCGGCCACACUGGAACUGAGACACGGUCCAGACUCCUACGGGAGGCAGCAGUGGGAAAUCUUCCGCAAUGGGCGAAAGCCUGACGGAGCAACGCCGCGUGAGUGAAGAAGGUCUUCGGAUCGUAAGACUCUGUUAUUAGGGAAGAACAAAUGUGUAAGUAACUAUGCACGUCCUGACGGUACCUAAUCAGAAAGCCACGGCUAACUACGUG